CCCUAGUGGAAGCCGUGAGCGGGCCUCAGAGCAGACACCUGGCUCGGUGCCCACAGGGCUAUCCGCUCAGGUGGGCGCAUUUCCCCAAGAGGAGCCUUGCCACCUUGGCACUCAGCGCCCAUCACGAAUACAGGACAAUUUCAAAAGUACACAAUGGCAUAGAGAACAGUAUAAUCGACUCCCAUGGAUCCAUCACCCAGUUCCAACAUCUGUCAAUUCCUGGUCAACCUCAGUCUUCUGUUUGCCCACCCACUUCCAUUUCUUCUCCACUAGACUGAAGCAGACCAGCCAUCACAGCAUUCUAUCCAUAAAUCCUUCGGAGGGAGCGAAAUUAGAUCCACGUGUUCAAUCUGCUGACUCGCCGUGGAACUUCGGAAGGCACAACGUAUUAAACACAUCACUCAAAAGGACUAACAGUCACAUCAGG